UACGGAAGGUCCGGGCGUUAUCCGGAUUUAUUGGGUUUAAAGGGAGCGCAGACGGCCUUGCAAGCGUGCAGUGAAAGCCCGGGGCUCACCCCCGGCGAGCUGCGCGAACUGCUGGGCUUGAGUGCGCGGAACGCGGGCGGAAUUCGUGGUGUAGCGGUGAAAUGCUUAGAUAUCACGAGGAACUCCGAUUGCGAAGGCAGCCCGCGGCAGCGCUACUGACGUUCAUGCUCGAAGGCGCGGGUAUC
rnacentral:rRNA from 1 species